UGUACUAUGAGAUCAUCACCUUCAACUCAAACCAUGUCUCUGUUAUCUGUGGUACUGCUGCUGGCUGCCACAUCCAAUGUUCAUUCAGUUGACCUCACUCAACCAGCUUCACUGACCGUCCAGCCGGGUCAAAGCUUCACCAUCAACUGUAAAGUCUCCUAUUCAGUUCGUGACUCUAGCUAUGGCACAGCUUGGAUUCGACAGCCAUCAGGGAAAGCUCUGGAGUGGAUCAACGUUAUCUGGUAUGAUGGUGGCACAAACCAUAAAGACUCCCUGAAGAACAAGUUCAGCGUCUCCAGAGACACCUCCAGUAACACAAUCACCCUGCAAGGGCAAAACAUGCAGCCUGGAGACACAGCUGUGUAUUACUGUGCUCGCUACCCACAGUCACACAUGAGACUGCAGAGCUGCACAAAAACAUCUCUGGCAGUUCUGACUGACUGA